rnacentral:rRNA from 1 species
GACGAACGCUGGCGGCGUGCUUAACACAUGCAAGUCGAACGGUAAGGCCCUUCGGGGUACACGAGUGGCGAACGGGUGAGUAACACGUGGGUGAUCUGCCCUGCACUUCGGGAUAAGCCUGGGAAACUGGGUCUAAUACCGGAUAGGACCACUGCCUGCAUGGGUGGUGGUGGAAAGCUUUUGCGGUGUGGGAUGGGCCCGCGGCCUAUCAGCUUGUUGGUGGGGUGAUGGCCUACCAAGGCGACGACGGGUAGCCGGCCUGUGAGGGUGACCGGCCACACUGGGAAUGAGAUACGGCCCAGACUCCUACGGGAGGCAGCAGUGGGGAAUAUUGCACAAUGGGCGCAAGCCUGAUGCAGCGACGCCGCGUGAGGGAUGACGGCCUUCGGGUUGUAAACCUCUUUCAGCACCGACGAAGCGCAAGUGACGGUAGGUGCAGAAGAAGGACCGGCCAACUACGUGCCAGCCGCCGCAGUAA